rnacentral:rRNA from 1 species
UACGUAGGGGGCUAGCGUUGUCCGGAAUCAUUGGGCGUAAAGCGCGUGUAGGCGGCCCGAUAAGUCCGCUGUGAAAGUCCAGGGCUCAACCCUGGGAUGCCGGUGGAUACUGUCGGGCUCGAGUCCGGAAGAGGCGAGUGGAAUUCCUGGUGUAGCGGUGAAAUGCGCAGAUAUCAGGAGGAACACCAAUUGCGAAGGCAGCUCGCUGGGACGUAACUGACGCUGAGACGCGAAAGCGUGGGGAGCAAACAGG